GUACGCGGUACACUCGAAUGUAACUCAAUGUUCAUGUACAUAUACAUUUACAUGUAUAUGUACGUUUGUAGCGGAACCACUCGCGCAACGGAUACCAGUUUCAAUGUUUCUCCGGUAUUAUAUGAUGCACAUUUUGUUUCUCAACAGCACCGCCAGCAGUAAGAUUGUGCGAUUUUUUCAUUAAACUCGAAGACACUGUUGAAAAAUUUCGGCAAAAUUACAAAAAAUACAGACGCGACACAGACGUGAUUUGGUGAUUAAUAUAUGAUGUAUUACAUAACACACUAAACGGUUUUUCAAAACUUUAAAAACUGUUGGAGUUGGUCUUUCAAAUCACACGAGAACACUUUCAGCAAUUUCUACAGUUCAUUGAUGCCAGAUGGAUGGACACGAACGUUGGCAGUGACGUCAAGCUACAACAGCCAACCUGACUUCAGCUGAUUACGGCACCCGUUCAGACUGUACCAAAGAGAGCUAGCGCGCGAUGAGUUUGCCGUACACUCGACUUGCUCGCGGUGUUCUCGCGACCAUCGCCUCCUUCGUGGUCUAUAUCCUUCACAGGACGGUGGUGAAGGCCUUGGGCAUGCUUUUGGUGGCAAUUCGGGAUGACUUCGAGACCGACACCUGGGUCGCUGGAACGGUGUUUUCCGCAACCGACUGCGUCACCGAUAUGACUGGUCCAAUAGUGGGACCCAUAGGCAAGCGCUUCGGUUAUCGAAGAGUCUGCAUGUUUGCCGGGGCGAUGACUGCUGCUGCCGUCAUCGUGGCUUCACAGGCACCGAGUUUUCUGCUAUUGGCAAUCCCACUCAUCGGACCAGCAGCUCUUGGACGCAGCGUUGUCAUCAUACUCGUCUGUGCAACCCUCAGCAAACAUCUGGACAACAGAGAAUUUGCUCUGGCAUCGGGAAUUGCAAAAACGGGCGCCGCCCUGGGCUACACCGCCAUACCGCCGGUGGUGCAGCUAUGCCUGGAUACAUAUGGAUGGAGGGGAACCCUGCUGAUCUUGGGUGCACUAUGCGCUCACUUGGUAGUGUGCGGCGCUUUGAUCGUAUCCUCAGAAACAGGGGACGCCGGAACAAAUCUUAAAAGUGGCUACCAGUCACUGUCAAAUGACGACACAUGCCCUGACACAGAAGGAUUACAGCAAGAACCGAAUCCACAACGCCUCCUGCUGCCACUGAAGUCCUUCUAUCAACGCGUGGAGGCUGCUAUUGGUCUAUCCGUGAUAUUUGACUUUAACUUUUGGAGAGCGACACAAAUAAAUAUCAUAAGUAAGAUUGCACUGAUGGCCUGGGUAAUUUAUUUUGUACCACACGCAGAAAACAGGGGAUUUUCGGGAGAAACUGCUGCGCUGAUGGUUACAGUAGCAGGAGUGGGUCAUCUUGCUGGCAUCCUUAUCGGUAGCUUGCUUGUUUUUAAAGGAAUCCUGUCCAGUAUGGGCUGCCUUAUGUUAGCGAUUCCUUUCACUGCAGUGCCGCUAUGCAUCGAUACCUGGAUGACCAGUAGGUGGUUAAUGACGGCCAAUGCCACGGUUCUCAUGCUCGCCCUUGGCUGCUCGUUCACGAUGUCCACGGUCGUGCUGAAGGACGUACUCGGAGACGAGAAAUUCACUUCCGCCAUCGGUUGGAUGACUUUCUUCUCUGGCCUCUUCAAAUUGCUGGGUGGCUUCAUUCCAGGUGAAGAAAACACCCCCUAACCACGCUUCCCGAUCAAUAUAUCCCAGAGAAAUAUAAAAUCUCCGUAUUGGAGACGAAUUCGGUACCUUUUCCUCGGAUUUUCCUAUGGUACUCUGUAAUGUUGGAAAGCAAUAUGUUUGGUACAGUACAAUAGUUGUAUUACAGUGGGUUACCGCCAUUGGCAGGGGCCAAAGCUACUUUACUAGUGACGGCAUUUCCGUUCUCUUCAUUUUGUCCCCAGCCCUUCAUUUGUUUAUUGGCUUUUUCGCAAGUUGCAAAAAAUGCAUUACUUUUGUUUUUUUUCUUUGGCUUGUUUGCAAGCUGGAAAAAGGCAUUAUAUGUACUUCUGUUCUGCUGUUUGGCUUUUGUGCAAGUUCCGAAAAAGGCACUCUGUUUGUUCCUUUUUUUUUCUUCAUCAUCUUCAUCUGCCCAAAUCCCCUUCCUUUGUACACGUUUCUUCCACCACCAUCUUUAGUCCCUUAGAAACUUUAGAUCUCCAUCAAACUUACAUCAGUGAAGGACCCUUGUGUAAAAAUGUAUCUAUAACAAUGACGUAAUGAUUACUUUGUCUAGUGAUUUAUUAUUGAUUUUUUAAUAGUUAUUUCAGCCCAUUGACUUUGUACACGUUUUCAUGACACUAUUUUGGUCAUUUGCUGACCUUCAAUUGUAACCAAAGUUACAGCCGACAAAGACCCUGAUACAAAAUAAGUCCAAAUUUAUGACGUCAUGAUGCCAUUAUAAUUUUUUAAAUUGAUCUUUUAAUAUUUAAUUUGCCCCAUAGGUUUUGUACAAGUUUUUCAAGUGCCAGACAUUGGGACUUUGUUUACUAUAAUUGAUUUCAUAUUGGUGAACACUUGUAGUCGCCCACGUAGAGAGGGUCCCACACCAGAAUCGUCAUAAUGGCAUUAUCAGGGGUCACGUGACAUGAGAUUAAGGAGGCAUUUUUUCCAUAGGUUUUGUACACGUUGUUUUUACUUCACUUUACACGUGACGAGUCACGUGACAUUAAGGGUGCACUUUUCAAAGCACUUUAUCUCGUGACGUUUAUAUCUGGCUGAAUUUAAACCUUGCAGAUAUCUUGAAAGGGGAAGGCUUUAGACGAACAUAGACCUUAAGUGAUGAUGACGUCAUCAUGUGACAUGUGACGUGACAUUACAGGUGCACUCUUCAAAACACUAUAUCUUGUUAAGUACAUGUCUGAUUGGUUUGAACAUUGCUGAGAUCUUGAAUGGAAGUGAUUACAACGGGUAUUGACCUGAUGUGAUGACGCCAUCAUGCAGGUCACUUGGUAUGUGGAAUGUACAAAGCACCAUAUCUUCUUAAUUGCAUGUCGUAUUGUGUUCAAACUUUGCUGAUAUCUUGAAAGGAUAGUGACGUAGGAGAAUAUUGACCUCAUGCGGAGUGACAUCAUCAGGUUGGGUGUUUGAUCACAGCGGCAGCUUUGAGGUUGGAUUCGCCAUCAUAGGCGCUACGCAGUUCAUACCGUU
rnacentral:misc_RNA from 1 species